UACGAGGGGUCCUAGCGUUGUUCGGAAUCAUUGGGCGUAAAGCGUCUGUAGGCGGCUUUGUAAGUCGGGUGUGAAAGCCCCAGGCUCAACCUGGGAAGUGCAUUCGAUACUGCAUAGCUUGAAUGUUGGAGAGGAUAGUAGAAUUCCAGGUGUAGUGGUGAAAUGCGUAGAUAUCGAGAGGAACACCUGCGGCGAAGGCGGGUAGCUGGGCCGACACUGACGCUGAGGCGCGAAAGCCAGGGGAGCGAACGGG
rnacentral:rRNA from 1 species